rnacentral:tRNA from 1 species
GAAGAUACAGCUCAGUGGCAGAGCGCUUGCCUAGCAUACACGAGGUCCUGGGUUCAAUCCCCGGUACUUCCA